GUGGGGGAUAUUGCACAAUGGGGGAAACCCUGAUGCAGCGACGCCGCGUGAAGGAAGACGUACUUCGGUAUGUAAACUUCUAUCAGCAGGGAAGAAGAUGACGGUACCUGACUAAGAAGCCCCGGCUAACUACGUGCCAGCAGCCGCGGUAAUACGUAGGGGGCAAGCGUUAUCCGGAUUUACUGGGUGUAAAGGGAGCGUAGACGGUGAAGCAAGUCUGAUGUGAAAACCCGGGGCUCAACUCCGGGAUUGCAUUGGAAACUGUUUUACUUGAGUGCUGGAGGGGCAAGCGGAAUUCCUGGAGUAGCGGUGAAAUGCGUAGAUAUCAGGAAGAACACCGGUGGCGAAGGCGGCUUGCUGGACAGUAACUGACGUUGAGGCUCGAAAGCGUGGGGAGCAAACAGGAUUAGAAACCCGAGUAGUCC
rnacentral:rRNA from 1 species